rfam:Ixodes scapularis strain Wikel colony gcontig_1107728950114, whole genome shotgun sequence.
UCCUGGUUGGCUCACUUGGUAGAGCACUUCACUGAAAAUGGGAAGGUCCCCGGUUCGAUACCAGAAGCAGGAU